rnacentral:rRNA from 1 species
UUAAAAAGCUCGUAGUUGAAUUUCGGGAUCAAUACGUCGGUCGUGCUCAGGUACGUACUGGCGUCAUUGAUUUCUCCCUUCUGACGAACCAUGAUGUCAUUAAUUUGGUGUUAUGGGAAAUCAGGACUGUUACUUUGAAAAAAUUAGAGUGUUUAAAGCAGGCUCACGCUUGAAUACAUUAGCAUGGAAUAAUGAAAUAGGACGUUCGAUCCUAUUUUGUUGGUUUUAGGAUCAACGUAAUGAUUAAUAGGGAUAGUUGGGGG